UCAUAUAUGGUUGAGGACCACAAAGAGAAAAGAGAAUCAAUGAAAUCCUAACCUCAUCUCUUGCCCUUUUCAACUUUUCUCCUCAAAACCUCUUUCUCCACCGCUAUCUCUCUAUCUUCUUUCUGCCCUAAAUUUCCAUGCCAUUCUCUUGUGCUUAAUGAUAUGGAUGACACAUCAUCCAUAUAACAUAACACAUCAGCUAGC
rnacentral:lncRNA from 1 species